UUUUCACACAUCUCUGGUUCGAGCUCAAUUUCUCCAUUUCUCUCUCUCUCUCUUUCUCUCUAUCUCUCUCAAAACAUCAACCAACGUUCGAGAUGGUGGCUUGAGGGAAGGAAGAGGGCUGCAACGGUGAACGAAGUCGACCCUUCUUCUACAGAUCUCACAAAAUCCUUCAAAAAAAUCAGACAAGGAUAUCUAUCAAAUUUGUCGCAAGUACCCUUUCCUUCCUUGCCUCUUCUGCUCAGCCUUCUCUGUACGUCCAGUUCUUGUUCGAUGACCAGAGAUUGAGAUGCUGUUGGUAGACCGAGCAAGGCCAUCCAUCGAUGAGUAGACCCUCACACCACCCACCUCCGAACAUAACUCCUUUUUCCAUUCUUCAUGCCCUCUUUGACGAACCUCCCCGAACCUAUAUCUUAGAUUUCAUUGAGAUGAUGGUUUAUAAUUCAAAUCAUACAUGAAUUCGAACCAUUUUUGGGCACUUAUUCCUUGUAUAGUUGCAAUUUGGGAGAAAUGGUGGCUACCAAAUCGUCCUAUCGCGAUCGAGAAGCAAAAUCACAACUGCGUUGCUGGUGGGUACCAUAUUGACCAUGGUUAAUUAGCCGAGUCUCCGUUUCAGGCAUGCGAUUGUGAAGGAAUUAGGUGAGAAUGGGGAAAUUGUACACACAUAUGCUCAAAAUAAAUAUGAACUAAAUAGCUAUUUGAAAAGUUAAUGAAAGAUACUUAAUGCAUUUGAUGAAAAGCUUUCAUGUACUUGUGAAUUUCAUGAAUUUCUAUGUUAAUUCGUUCUUUGGGAAACUUGUACUUGUUAAAGGAACCCUUUCUAAUCUCUUUUCUCUUAAGGUUUGAUGGUAAGUCAUUUUGUUUCACAUUUCUUCUUAUUUUACAUUGAUUUUUAUGCUUCUUUUAUUGAUAAUUUUAAGCAUGUGGUAGGUAAGUCCUGAAAAAGACAGGGAAGAGUUUCAUGAUAUAAGCAAGAAUAGUGGUGGAACUGGAGUCAAUGAUUUCUAUGAAUAUGCAGUUAAAUUUUGAGGAAAAUUUGGUAAUGUGGGUCAACACUAGUGACCAUGCAUAUUUGACAAUCAUAAUUUGUUUAAAUUUAAUCCUCUUAAGCUUAUUUAUGUAUUGAAAAUCAUAAUCUGUUUAACUUCAAUCCCCAUAGUUGUUUUACAUGCUCUUCAGGAAAGUCAUAUUGAAUCACUAACAUAAGUAUGGGAUCUUACCACAAAGCCAGUUUUAGGUGUGGGACCCUUGUGAGUGGCGACAAUAGUGGUGUUGUUCAGUUUUGGGAUAGUUUACAUGGUACUCUAUUGCAAGAACAUUCUUGUCAUGAAUGCUUUGGCGGCUAGUCCUACCCAUACUAGGGUAUUCUCAGUUGGAUCAGACAGUCAGGUUAUAUUAUAUAAGGUAUUUAGUGACAGAUCUUUAUCUCCUACUCCUACUAAUGCAAUUAAAAAGAAGUGCAUGUGGUGUAUGUUGAUUAUUGAGAACCUUGGUUGUUGUUGUACCUAUAAGUCGCAAAGGUAUAGGAAUUUUGUUUCCAAUUACUUAAUGAUGACUUGUUGUGUUUCCAUUGGAUUUUAAAGGGUAUUGUAAUUUCAGAACCUGAAAGUGAGAUGUUUAUAGUGAAUGGAGGAAGAAAAUUAUGUGAUGACUAUAGUGAAAUUAUUGAAGGUUGUAAAGAUGAUACUGGGUAUGUAUAAGGGCAAUCUGGGAAUUAUAAAGUUGAGUUGAUGAUCAUGUCAGGUUUUUGUUGAUAGUUUAUAUACCUUACAUUGAAUAAGUAAUGGUCAGUUCUAAAUAAUUUAUUUUA